GAUCCUGCCGGAGGUCAUUGCUAUUGGAGUCCGAUUUAGCCAUGCUAGUUGCACGAGUUUAGACUCGUAGCAGAUAGCUCAGUAACACGUGGCCAAACUACCCUCUGGACGCGGAUAACCUCGGGAAACUGAGGCUAAUCCGUGAUAGCGUUCCCACGCUGGAGUGCGGGGAACGUGAAAUGUUCAGGCGCCAGAGGAUGUGGCUGCGGCCGAUUAGGUAGACGGUGGGGUAACGGCCCACCGUGCCAGUAAUCGGUACGGGUUGUGAGAGCAAGAGCCCGGAGACGGUAUCUGAGACAAGAUACCGGGCCCUACGGGGCGCAGCAGGCGCGAAACCUUUACACUGCACGAGAGUGCGAUAAGGGGACUCCGAGUGCGAGGGCAUAUAGUCCUCGCUUUUCACCACCGUAAGGUGGUGGUGGAAUAAGUGCUGGGCAAGACCGGUGCCAGCCGCCGCGGUAAUACCGGCAGCACGAGUGAUGACCGCUAUUAUUGGGCCUAAAGCGUCCGUAGCUGGCCAGGCAAGUCCAUCGGGAAAUCCGCGUGCUUAACGCGCGGGCGUCCGGUGGAAACUGCGUGGCUUGGGACCGGAAGACCAGAGGGGUACGUCUGGGGUAGGAGUGAAAUCCCGUAAUCCUGGACGGACCACCGGUGGCGAAAGCGCCUCUGGAAGACGGAUCCGACGGUGAGGGACGAAAGCUCGGGUCACGAACCGGAUUAGAUACCCGGGUAGUCCGAGCUGUAAACGAUGUCUGCUAGGUGUGCCACAGGCUACGAGCCUGUGGUGUGCCGUAGGGAAGCCGUGAAGCAGACCGCCUGGGAAGU
rnacentral:rRNA from 1 species